rnacentral:lncRNA from 1 species
AAAUACAGUUCUGUUCCAAUCUUCUCAUUUUACAAGUGAGGGAACUGAGAACAAGAAGCAGUGAACUGGCCUUCCAAAGGCUAGAUGUCUUGGGGAAUGAUAGUGUCUUAAUUCAGGAAGACUCGAGAUCAGUGGUUCUCAGCCUGUGGGUCAUGAUUCCAUUGGGAGUUGCAAAUCAAAUAUCCUGCAUAUCAGAUAUUUACAUUAUAAUUGAUAACAGUAGCAAAAUUACUAUUACAAAUAGCAACAAUAUAAUUUUAUGGUUGGGGUCACUAUAAUAUGAGGAACUAUAUUAAAAGGUAACAGCAGUAGGAAGGUUGAGAACCAAUACUCUAGAUGGCAAAUAGCAGUAGGUUAAUUACUACAUAUAUUAGAGUUUCUGUUGCUAUGAUAAACACUAUGACUACAAGGAACCUGGAAAGGAAAGGGUUUAUUAAAGCUUGUAGUCCAUGACUUAUGGAAGUCCGCGCAGGAACUCAGGUCAAAAACCUGGGAGAAUGAACUAAAGCAGAAGCACUCUGAAGAACUCUACUCAAUGGAUUGUUCCUUGAGGUCUUCUCAGCCUGCUUCUAAGAUCACCCAAGACCACUAACCCAGGGGUAGCACUGCCCACAGAGAUGGGCCCUUCCUCAUCCAUCAUCAAUCUAGAAAACUUUGGGAGGCAUUUUCUCAAUUGAGAUUCCCUCUCUCCCCAAAUGACUCUAGUUGUGUCAAGUUGACAUAUGCUAGGCAGCACACUGCAUAUUCUCCACAGGAAAGAACACUGGGCUUCAUUGGCAAGUAUUUUGCUAAGAGAAGAGUCAAUAAACUUUUUAAUAAAGGGCCAGAGAGUAAAUAAUUAAGGUUUGUUGAGCUGGGUGGUAUUAUUUCCAAAACUCUUCAACUUUGCCUUUGAGUAGCAAUGAACAUGCAUAUAAAACAUGGGAAUGAUUGAACUCCAUUCAAACUUUGUAGAAGCCAGAGGCAGGACCGGAGCAGCUGAAAGAAAUUGCCACUCUUCUUCUAGGACAAACUUUGUCAUCUAUUACUGCAAAAUAAAUAGUCUUAAAAGUAGAGAUUUCAAACAGGCUGGUGGGUAGCAAUCAGCUGAUAGUUGACAGAUCUCUCAGCGGGGGUUAAGUAGAAGAAACUCAACCUGUUGUUCCUUUCCACUUGGUUCAGGGUCUUUGUCAUGAGCCCUUUUCUGCGGGACUAUGGCCUUCUAUGUGAUCAAAUACCAUAGUCUCCUCAGGGUCCAUCUUAGGUUCCAUCCCAGCAUCUCCUCAGCAUUUAGCUGAUCCAAGUGAUCACAGAGGCCUCUCAGAUCCAAGGAGAGAGGGCAUAUGGUUCCAUCUCAGUACAGAGAGGACCAAGGGAUUUGUUGUCAUUUAAAAGUCUGCUCUAGAAAGAAAAAGUUAACACCCAGUAAAGAGGCAAACAGGAAAGUGUCCCCAGGCCCUGAGAUGCGGGACCCCUUGCAGACUCUUUGUUGUGUGGAUAACCAGAUUAUGUGUUAUGAGAUAACACAUAUGAUUGACAUAAACUUAGCAAAACCACCAAGUGCUUUUCCCAUGGACAGCACUGCCAGAUAUUGUUCGUCUUUGAGCAAUAAGAAUGGACAGCAUAGAGAGACAUGGAGGGGAAACGUUGAGAUUCUCGUCUUUGUGUGAGCGCUACCAAUUAGUGGCGAGAACUAAUUUUUUUCUUUAGUGCCUUAAAAAAGGAGCUUCUGCCAGAGUCUGCCACUAUUAUUUGGCUUCACUUUAUCUCCACAAGAUGGCCUAGGUCCUUAAACAACAACAGAUAUCUAAAUGUGGACUCUGGUUUCCAGUUAGUGAGCUGAGUACUCCAGAGCUCAGAGACUUCGAUAAUGCAAAUCAUACCAUUUUGUUGUGAAGGUAACAUUUACUCGCUGCUUGUUAUGUAAUUAGUAUUAGAGUUGAGCCAUCCACCCAUGCUAAUUUAUAGAAACAUAUGUAUUCUUUCACUGUAUUUAUAGAUUUUAAUUGCCUUCUUCAGGGUAUGAGCAUCUUUUCCUUUUCGGAGGAAAGGCCAAGCUCCACUUGUCCCAGUAGCGUGGUAACAAGAGAAGCAUAAUGCUUGGUGAGAAAAGCAGAUAGACAAUGGGAUGACAAAUGAAAUAUAAUCCUUUAAUCCCACUUAGUAACAGGCUGGCUUGUAUUACCAAAUGCUGACCCGGUGGCUCUUUGAGCUGCUAAUGGCUUUUUGUCUGUAUAAAAUGACAUCAACCACUUCUUCUAUAAGAGGUGAGUUCGUCUUCUCAGCAGAGGCUUGCUUGUAAACCUCUAACAUUCUGAGAACCAGAAUGGGUCUCUUCUCAUCUACUUCAUUUCCCAUUGCUAAAUGGGCUCCAAGUCAUCCUACCGUGCAGGCAAGUGCCGAGGGGAAUUUUCCACCGCCCGGUUCCAGCAAUAUUUAAAUUCUUGAGAAUCAUACAGAUUCACUCGUCUGCCUGACAGAUUCUCUCCGAUGCUGCGUUCAUUCGUAUGAAACCCUGGAUGCUCGAUGUUUAAUUUUUCAUACUGCUUCUUAAAAACAGGAUAAUCUGUUCCACAUCUUCUCUUCACAGAAAAAGGCCCCCACAGGAUAGAAUUUCAUUCUACACAUUUCUAGAAAUUUCAAGCAACCAACCUGGGUGUAGUAUGGUGGAAAUGGUCCCUUUCCUCCAGGGCUAUGAUAUAACACAUAGAAUUGGCAUGAACUUAACAAAACCAUUGAGGGCCCAAUAUUGUUACAGUCUUUGAGGAAUCAGAAUGGGCAGCAUAGAGAGAAGGGGGGGGGGAAACAUAUUGAGAUUCAAAAUCAGUGUUCCUAUAUUCUCACUUUUGUGUCAGCACCACAACUGUGGCAAGAACUGAUUUUUUUUUUUCUUUAGUACCUUAAAAAAGGAGCUUCUGCCAGAGUCUGCCACUAUUAUUUGGCUUCACUUUUUAAUCUCCACAAGACGGCCUAGGUCCUUAGACAGAAACAGAUAUCUAAAUGUGGACUCUGGAAUAAUGCAAAUCACACAAUGUUGAUGUGAAGGUAACAUUUACUGGAUGCCUGUUAUGUAACUGAUAUUAGAGUUGAGCCAUCCAGCCAUACUAAUUUACUGAAUAGCAUAUGCUGAUCGUUCUUCUUAAAUGGUGACACCUUAGAGGCCUCUCUAUAUUACAAUAGUAAAGAAAUAGAGGUGUAAGAAUCUAAUAUUGCCUACUUCCUUUAAGAAAUAGGAGAGAUGACAGCUUAUUGGUUAAGAGCACUGACUGCUCUUCUAGUGGACUUUGGGACUCCCAGCACUUACAUGGCACCUUAUAACCUUGUGUAACUCCAGUUCCAGGGAAUCCAAUACCCUCUUCUGACCUCCUUGGGCACCAGAUAUUCAUGUGGUGCACAGACAUAUAUGCAGGCAAAACCACUCAUACACAUGAAGUAAAAAACAAACAAAGUUAAUCUAAAAUUAAAGGGAGGUAAAGCUAGCAGCAUAAUUGGUUUCUAAGGUUUGUAAGCUUUGUGUUAAAAAUAUUAAGUUACGACUUCCUACUGUAACACGGUGGACAGGAUACCUGAGUAGUUUGUAUUUUGUAGUCAUUAAGGAAAACUAACCAGUCAUUCUCUGUAUGUUCUCCCUCCCAAAAGAAUACAAACAAAUGACAUUUACUCCCUUCCUGAAUACUACUGAUUGCUUUGUAAAAACUGGAGGGACCAUUUCAGUUUGCUCCUUGUCUGGGUUUUAGCACAGACAGCUCCUGCAGAGGCACACAAUAAUCCGCAGUGAAACUGCUUAACAAGGGAGGUGGGGAGGUACUUGGGACUUUUUGAAACAUCGAAACCCUUCACACUUUCUUAUCUCUUUCGAGCCUUGUUCUUCUCCCAGCUCUGAGUAUAUGCCAGGCCUGUUUCUACAACCUAGAACUCACAGUGCUUUUGUACUCUGUGAACACCAGGUCUCCUGCCUGUUCCUGCUCCAUUGCUGUUUGUUUGGGGUCCAACAUGCCUCAACUGCAGAAAGGGCUCCAUCCUAGGAUGCCAGAGGUGUUCGGCAUGCCAGCUCUCUGGACCAUGCCCUGCUCCUUUUUCAUCAUGGGCGUCACCUCAGGCCUCAUAGGGGAGGGGCAAACUGCUCUCUGCCAGGGACUUUUGCCAUUUAAAUGGUUCUCUUUGUCUCUUUCCAUGCUUAGGACCUCCUGCAUUGCCUGGGAAGUGGCUGAUGAGACUUGACUUUUAAGUUCAUUCUAAAAUGUGGCAAGGCUGGUUUGCAGAACCGGUUUGGUUGCUUCACUUUGCAUUUCUCUUUGAGUUUGUAUAUAUAUUUUACAAAUCCCCGCCCUGGUGUCAUUCGAGUGCACUGUUCUGUUCAGCUGUGUUAUUUUCUAAACAGAAGAAUUGUCAAGACACAUAGUCUGUGAAAUUCUUCCCAUUCGGAAAUAAGUACAUACUCCAGGAUCAUUCAGAAGGUGAAAUGUCCUAUCUUUAUGCUUUUGAAAGCCUGGGAACAGUUUCCAACCAUCCUCUACCAUAUAGCUACCAUUUAGCAGUUAAAAAAA